UUUUGUAUAACCCAUGAUUAGUUCACAUGGUGUCAUUAGUAGGACUUCUUUGGCUAUGAUCUGCCAAGAACUAAUAACUUACUAAGUGCGUAUCGUCAAGCCGGUAGGAAAAGAUCAAAGUUGUGUUCUGGAAAGUGCAUCUUAACGUCUUAUCUAUAUAUGCAUGAAAUUUGUUCUAUCUAAUAUUACAAUUUUGAGCAUAUGUUUCAACAUUUACAUUUUUUUUUUCUCCUAUUUAUUCAAGCAUGUGACUUGACAGGUGAUCUGAGUAGA
rnacentral:misc_RNA from 1 species